CACCACAAGCCACCAAAAAUCUUUAUUCAAUCAUCAGCUAAAAUUACAUUGCAAAGUAAGUUUAAAUAGUAAAGUUGGGCCCGAGCCAAUAUAAGUCUAAUUCUCUAAAUAAGGGUCCAAGAUAAUAAAUAAAGCUUAACUAGAAUAUAAAAUAAAUAAAUAUCAGAUGUCCUCAUCAACUCUCUCAGGGUGGGAGAAAACUCGACCCUGUCGAGUGGAUAUAUCCCUAUAGGCUGUAGUCAAUCUCCCAAUCAUAAGUUAAGUGACUGGGCAAGCUUCUUCCGACAUCUGUAGAUAUGUGUUAGUGGAGGUCUGAAUCUGGUGUACUCACCAACCCCCUUGGAGUGGACGGGAGGCAAUCUAGAUCAAGUAGGUUUAAAUAGUAAAGCGAACUCUAACGAGACCGGACCCGAGCCAAUACAAGUCCAAUUCUCUAAAUAAGAGUCCAAGAUAAUAAAUAAAGCUUACUAGAAAAUAAAAUAAAUUAAUAUCGGAUGCCCUCAUCACAAUCCUUCCAAGCUAUCAACGUGUCUGACGUGGAUCCUCCUCCCAUGCUAGAUCAGUGAUCAGAUUUCCAUUUCCUAUUGCAGACAACAGAAUGAGAAUGUUUCACUUCUCCAAUUUUGAUGUUAUACAAAGAAACGAGGUGUAGCAGUAAAUUGUAACCAUUUCUUGAUUGCUGUAGCCAUUUCGUUCCUUUGGGUGGAUGGUGAGUGACGAGUGUUUAGAAUGUAAAUGUUCCUUCUUUAGUUUGAUCCUUCAUUCUUUGUUUCCCAUGUUUCAAUGACUCAAUUGUUUGAAAUCAUAAAGUGCUCUUCUGAUUGGUGUUGUUAAAGAAACAAACAAACUGAUAGCAAGGAGACUUCUCAACAAGGUCAUAAUCUAUUAAAGAAUCUAAUCUAGAAUCUUAUUAAUGUAUUUUGUGCAAACGACGAGAGAGAAAUCACAAAAAACUACCUGGUGUACUGGAUAGGAUUGGAAAGAUCUCUUGGUUAAUCAGAUCGAGUACAAUUACCAAACAAGGCAAACAAGUUCUUCAAAAGCCUAAUUAGAGUAACCCCGGCUGCUCGGGGUUAGAUUGGGAAUUUUUCUAAUGGGAGAUCAGAGUGUUUUUCCUUGAACAAUGGCAGCAUGCUUAACACAUCACAAGCUCUGCUCCACCCCUACACUCAGGUAGCAAGAGGAUUUGAAUUGCCAGCAUUUAGCACCGUGAGUUAUACAAUCUCUCCAAUAUUAUAAAAAUUGGACAAAAACUUUGCAGUUUGAAAAUUGGAACUCUGGAAGGAAAAUAGGAUUAGAAGUUGAUUAUUGUGGACUCCGAAAAGCCUUCUUUGAGUAA
rnacentral:lncRNA from 1 species